AGUUCUAUACUUUAAAAAAAAGAUUUGAUUUGCAUUCAACCAUUGAACUUCAUCAUUCUAGAACUG
rnacentral:tRNA from 1 species